GAGGGAAAGGGAGAGCAUCUGGUCCAGGCUGAACCAUGCCUGUGGCUGGCUCUGGGUACGACCAUCCCAGAUGUGCUCCCACCACUCUGUGUCCCUUUAUUCCCAGAAGGGAAAGGAGCUGGGUGAUCUGGGGCAAAGUAUUUGCAAAGUGCUGGCUGCUGACACCAUACCCUGAAUCCCCACCAAAGGUGUCACUGCACCUCUCCAGCAGAAGCAGCAGCACAAAGAUUUAUGACCUCGUUUAGAACAAGGUAAACCAGUUUUUACAGGACUUCUUCAAACCAUCCCAACUCUAGCUCUGCAGGGUGACAUCCACAUUCAUAUCCAGCCACCAGGUCGUGGGGGCUGCGCAGCUCAUGUCCCAGUCUCUGCAGCCUUCCCACGGAUGAGGCAUGCUGACCUUCAUUCAUCCCUGGAUGGGCCAGAUGCUCUUCCCUGCCUCCCUGCCUGGCUGUGUGCUGCUGCUGCACUACACCCUGAGCACUGACUUCAUUUCCAAGCAAAUUCCAGACCUGUACCAAAGUUUUGUCAGCAGCCUUCCUGCACAACAAGAUACAGGCUUAUCCUGGAUUUCCAUUCCUGGCAUUCCUCUUGCCCAGCUAUUUCUGCUUGAAAAAAAACCAAACAAACAAGGGACAGCAGCAGUUUUUAGCAGAUGAAUCAGAGCGAGCUAUAUUUAUCUAUCUAU